AGAGCGAACGCUGGCGGCAGGCCUAACACAUGCAAGUCGAGCGCCCGUAGCAAUACGGGAGCGGCAGACGGGAUAGUAACACGUGGGAACGCGCCCUUCGGUUCGGAAUAACUCAGGGAAACUUGAGCUAAUACCGGAUACGCCCUUACGGGGAAAGAUUUAUUGCCGAAGGAACGGCCCGCGUCCGAUUAGCUAGUUGGUGAGGUAAUGGCUCACCAAGGCGACGAUCGGUAGCUGGUCUGAGAGGAUGACCAGCAUCACUGGGACUGAGACACGGCCCAGACUCCUACGGGAGGCAGCAGUGGGGAAUAUUGGACAAUGGGCGCAAGCCUGAUCCAGCCAUGCCGCGUGGAUGAUGAAGGCCUUAGGGUUGUAAAGUCUUUACGGGAAGAUAAUGACGUACCCGUAGAAUAAGCCCGGCUAACUUCGUGCCAGCAGCCGC
rnacentral:rRNA from 1 species